GAUGAAGAACGUAGCGAAAUGCGAUAAGUAAUGUGAAUUGCAGAAUUCAGUGAAUCAUCGAAUCUUUGAACGCACAUUGCGCCCUCUGGUAUUCCGGGGGGCAUGCCUGUCCGAGCGUCAUUUGUACCCUCAAGCUUUGCUUGGUGUUGGGCGUCUUGUCUCUAGCUUUGCUGGAGACUCGCCUUAAAGUAAUUGGCAGCCGGCCUACUGGUUUCGGAGCGCAGCACAAGUCGCACUCUCUAUCAGCAAAGGUCUAGCAUCCAUUAAGCCUUUUUUUCAACUUUUGACCUCGGAUCAGGUAGGGAUACCCGCUGAACUUAAGCAUAUCAAUAAGCGGAGGA
rnacentral:misc_RNA from 1 species